CAAAUGAAUUGACGGGGCCCGCACAAGCGGAGGAACAUGUGGUUUAAUUCGAUGAUACGCGAGGAACCUUACCUGGGCUUAAAUGGGGAGUGACAGCUGUCGAAAGAUGGUUUUCUUCGGACACUCUUCAAGGUGCUGCAUGGUUGUCGUCAGCUCGUGCCGUGAGGUGUCGGGUUAAGUCCCAUAACGAGCGCAACCCUUACCGUUAGUUACCAUCAGGUUAAGCUGGGGACUCUAGCGGGACUGCCACCGUAAGGUGAGAGGAAGGUGGGGAUGACGUCAAAUCAGCACGGCCCUUAUGUCCAGGGCUACACACGUGUUACAAUGGCCAGUACAAAGGGCAGCUACCGGGUGACCGGAUGCUAAUCUCUAAAGCUGGUCUCAGUUCGGAUCGAAGUCUGCAACCCGACUUCGUGAAGCUGGAUUCGCUAGUAAUCGCGCAUCAGCCAUGGCGCGGUGAAUACGUUCCCGGGCCUU
rnacentral:rRNA from 1 species